CAAGAAAUGGGGGUGCGCAACAUUAGUUAGUUGGUAGGGUAAAAGCCUACCAAGACGAUGAUGUUUAGCGGGGCCAAGAGGUUGUACCGCCACACUGGGAUUGAGAUACGGCCCAGACUCCUACGGGAGGCAGCAGUAAGGAAUAUUCCACAAUAAGCGAAAGCUUGAUGGAGCGACACAGCGUGCAGGAUGAAGUCUUUCGGGAUGUAAACUGCUGUUGUAAGGGAAGAAAAAACUAGAUAGGAAAUGCUCUAGUCUUGACGGUACCUUAUUAGAAAGCGACGGCAAACUAUGUGCCAGCAGCCGCGGUAAUACAUAGGUCGCAAGCGUUAUCCGGAAUUAUUGGGCGUAAAGCGUCCGUAGGUUUUUUGUUAAGUUUAAAGUUAAAUGCUAAAGCUCAACUUUAGUCCGCUUUAGAUACUGGCAAAAUAGAAUUAUGAAGAGGUUAGCGGAAUUCCUAGUGGAGUGGUGGAAUACGUAGAUAUUAGGAAGAACACCAAUAGGCGAAGGCAGCUAACUGGUCAUAUAUUGACACUAAGGGACGAAAGCGUGGGGAGCAAACAGGAUUAGAUACCCUGGUAGUCCACGCCGUAAACGAUGAUCAUUAGUUGGUGGCAAAAGUCACUAACACAGCUAACGCGUUAAAUGAUCCGCCUGAGUAGUAUGCUCGCAAGAGUGAA
rnacentral:rRNA from 2 species